rnacentral:tRNA from 1 species
GGAGAGGUGUCCGAGUGGUCGAAGGAGCACGCCUGGAAAGUGUGUAAGUGCCAAAAGCGCUUCCAGGGUUCGAAUCCCUGUCUCUCCGCCA